AGAAGAAAACACCUGUGUGGAAACCAUGGCAAUAUUGCUUCCAGCCCGAGUCGACGGAUUCUCCACGCCCCCUCACGCCUCCUGCCGGACUCCCGACGCCUCCACUCCGGACGCCACGCCGGACAAAGCAAAAUAUCCGUUGCCUUAAAGUCCCCCCAAAACUGGUUCCUCGCCUUCUCCUCCCUCCAUGUCUGAGGACACAGAUUCUUUGAGAUCUGCUCUCCGGGAAAAACAGCUUCAAACCCCUCAUCUGCUUAAAAAGGAAGGAAAAGAAAUGAACAAACCACGAGUUGCCUAUGAAAUCAUCUGCCCAGGCAUUUCACGAAAUAAAAUGAAAUUACGAAAUAAGGAAUUGGGAAACACCUGCAGGUUUUAGAAUCGAAGUCUCCUCCUCCAACCUCCUCCUCCUCCCCCCCCCCCUCCUUUUCUUUUUAAGAUUUUGUUCUUAAGCAAUCUCCACACCUAGCUUGGGGUUGGAACCCACAACCCCCAGAUCAAGAGUCACAUGUUCCACGGACUGAGCCGGCCAAGUGCCCUGAACUGAAGACUCUUUUUAUGUCGACUUCUAUCCCUUUGCCUCUUAGGGAGACCUAGUAGAAACAUCUCCUUUAUUUCUUCUUCA